GCAGUCGAGGGGUAACGAUGUCUUCGGACAGGCGACGACCGGCGCACGGGUGAGUAUCGCGUUUGUAACCUACCUCUAACUGGAGAAUAGCCCGAAGAAAUUCGGAUUAAUACUCCAUAAUACUAUGAUCUGGCAUCUUUUUAUAGUUAAAGCUCCGGCGGUUAGAGAUGGGCAUGCGUAACAUUAGCUAGUUGGUGAGGUAACAGCUCACCAAGGCUACGAUGUUUAGGGGGUCUGAGAGGAUGGUCCCCCACACUGGUACUGAGACACGGACCAGACUCCUACGGGAGGCAGCAGUGAGGAAUAUUGGUCAAUGGGCGCAAGCCUGAACCAGCCAUGCCGCGUGAAGGAUGACAGCCCUAUGGGUUGUAAACUUCUUUUGUACGGGAAGAAACACUUCUACGUGUAGAGGCUUGACGGUACCGUACGAAUAAGCAUCGGCUAACUCCGUGCCAGCAGCCGCGGUAAUACGGAGGAUGCAAGCGUUAUCCGGAUUUAUUGGGUUUAAAGGGUACGCAGGCGGAAAAUUAAGUCAGUGGUGAAAUCCUGCAGCUUAACUGUAGAACUGUCAUUGAUACUGGUUUUCUUGAAUAUGGUUGAGGUAGGCGGAAUGUGUAAUGUAGCGGUGAAAUGCUUAGAUAUUACACAGAACACCGAUUGCGAAGGCAGCUUACUAAGCCAUGAUUGACGCUGAGGUACGAAAGCGUGGGGAGCGAACAGGAUUAGAUACCCUGGUAGUCCACGCUGUAAAACGAUGAUUACUAGUUGUUGGCAAUACAUCGUCAGCGACUGAGCGAA
rnacentral:rRNA from 1 species